rnacentral:tRNA from 1 species
UGGCUCAGACGGUAAAGCAUCUGCCUGCAAAGCGGAAGACCUAGGUUCAAUCUCUGG